AUUGAACGCUGGCGGCAUGCCUUACACAUGCAAGUCGAACGGUAACGCGGGGCAACCUGGCGACGAGUGGCGAACGGGUGAGUAACGCAUCGGAACGUGCCCAGUAGUGGGGGAUAGCCCGGCGAAAGCCGGAUUAAUACCGCAUACGACCUACGGGUGAAAGGGGGGGAUCGCAAGACCUCACGCCAUUGGAGCGGCCGAUGUCAGAUUAGGUAGUUGGUGGGGUAAAGGCCCACCAAGCCUUCGAUCUGUAGCUGGUCUGAGAGGACGACCAGCCACACUGGGACUGAGACACGGCCCAGACUCCUACGGGAGGCAGCAGUGGGGAAUUAUGGACAAUGGGCGCAAGCCUGAUCCAGCCAUGCCGCGUGCGGGAAGAAGGCCUUCGGGUUGUAAACCGCUUUUGUCAGGGAAGAAACGCUCUGGGCUAAUACCUCGGGGCAAUGACGGUACCAGAAGAAUAAGCACCGGCUAACUACGUGCCAGCCGCCGCAGUAA
rnacentral:rRNA from 1 species